rnacentral:rRNA from 1 species
CACACCGCCCGUCACACCAUGGGAGUUUGUUGCACCUUAGAAGCAGGUAGCUUAACCGCAAGGGGGGCGCUUGCCACGGUGUGGCCGAUGACUGGGGUG